UGGGGAAUUUUGGACAAUGGGGGAAACCCUGAUCCAGCCAUCCCGCGUGUGCGAUGAAGGCCUUCGGGUUGUAAAGCACUUUUGGCAGGAAAGAAACGUCAUGGGUUAAUACCCCGUGAAACUGACGGUACCUGCAGAAUAAGCACCGGCUAACUACGUGCCAGCAGCCGCGGUAAUACGUAGGGUGCAAGCGUUAAUCGGAAUUACUGGGCGUAAAGCGUGCGCAGGCGGUUCGGAAAGAAAGAUGUGAAAUCCCAGAGCUCAACUUUGGAACUGCAUUUUUAACUACCGGGCUAGAGGGUGUCAGAGGGAGGUGGAAUUCCGCGGGUAGCAGUGAAAUGCGUAGAUAUGCGGAGGAACACCGAUGGCGAAGGCAGCCUCCUGGGAUAACACUGACGCUCAUGCACGAAAGCGUGGGGAGCAAACAGG
rnacentral:rRNA from 1 species